rnacentral:rRNA from 13 species
AUGAGAACAAUUUAAAUCCCUUAUCGAGGAUCAAUUGGAGGGCAAGUCUGGUGCCAGCAGCCGCGGUAAUUCCAGCUCCAAUAGCGUAUAUUAAAGUUGUUGCAGUUAAAAAGCUCGUAGUUGGAUAUCUGGUGGGAGCAAUGGGUCUCGUGCUUAGCGCGGGUACUUCAAUUGACUCUUGCCAUCCUUGGGGAGAGCCCGUCUGGCAUUAGGUUGUCGGGCGGGGGAUCCCCAUCGUUUACUGUGAAAAAAUUAGAGUGUUCAAAGCAGGCUUAUGCCGCUGAAUAUAUUAGCAUGGAAUAAUAAGAUAGGACUCUGGUACUAUUUUGUUGGUUUGUGUACCAAAGUAAUGAUUAAUAGGAACAGUCGGGGGUAUUCAUAUUCCGUUGUCAGAGGUGAAAUUCUUGGAUUUACGGAAGAUGAACUACUGCGAAAGCAUUUACCAAGGAUGUUUUCAUUAAUCAAGAACGAAAGUUGGGGGAUCGAAGAUGAUUAGAUACCAUCGUAGUCUCAACCAUAAACUAUGCCGACUCGGGAUUGGCGGGGGUUUUUUAAUGACCCCGUCAGCACC